CCUACGGGCGGCAGCAGUGGGGAAUAUUGCACAAUGGGCGAAAGCCUGAUGCAGCGACGCCGCGUGAGGGAAGAAGGCCUUCGGGUCGUAAACCUCUGUCCAAGGGGAAGAAAAAAAUGACGGUACCCUUGGAGGAAGCCCCGGCUAACUACGUGCCAGCAGCCGCGGUAAUACGUAGGGGGCAAGCGUUAUCCGGAAUUACUGGGCGUAAAGAGUGCGUAGGUGGCCACUCAAGCGCAGGGUUUAAGGCAACGGCCUAACCGUUGUCAGCCUUGCGAACUGGGUGGCUUGAGUACAGGAGAGGAAGGCGGAAUUCCUAGUGUAGCGGUGAAAUGCGUAGAUAUUAGGAGGAACACCGGUGGCGAAGGCGGCCUUCUGGACUGUCACUGACACUGAGGCACGAAAGCGUGGGUAGCAAACAGGAUUAGAUACCCCGGUAGUCUGC
rnacentral:rRNA from 1 species